UACAGAGGGUGCGAGCGUUAAUCGGAAUUACUGGGCGUAAAGCGCGCGUAGGCGGCUUUGCAAGUCGGGUGUGAAAUCCCUCGGCUUAACCGGGGAACUGCAUCUGAUACUGGAUGGCUUGAGUUCGGGAGAGGGAUGCGGAAUUCCAGGUGUAGCGGUGAAAUGCGUAGAUAUCUGGAGGAACACCGGUGGCGAAGGCGGCAUCCUGGACCGACACUGACGCUGAGGAGCGAAAGCCAGGGGAGCAAACGGG
rnacentral:rRNA from 1 species